AAAAAAAGAAGGAAACCAACAACGCCAUGGCAAGAAAUGAUUUUAAAACAAGUCAAGUCAACAAAACACCACAUAGAAAACACCCCAACAAAACUGGAAGAACAAUGAUGACUUUUUUGUGCUUAUAGUACACGGUUGCCCUACUCAAACUAUUAUUUUUUUUCUUCGAUGUACCUUGAAAUUGGGGUCAAAACUCUAAUUUGGCUUAACAGUUCGAAAGAUAAUAUCGUAGGGAACAUGUGUACCAAGUUCAAGUUUAAUCAUGUUUAUCAAAAUUUACCUUGACUAAAAAAACUAUAACCUAAAAACUUUCACCUGAACCGGGACAGGCGGCCAAACGGGCAGACGAACCGACACACAGACUGAAAUAAAAUAAUGCCCAUAUAUGGGACAAAAAAAUCUAUGGAAAUUCUAACCUUAAUAGCUCUGAAGACGUCCGCAACAAAGACAUUUUUUGUAGUUAGGGAACAAUGUUGUAAAAAUCCAUAUGAUCGUUAUAUAGACAAUUAUUUGUUUGUCAAUACACUAUGAAAAAGUGUGAUACUAUGACAGUAAGUGACGAUUCAAAAACUUUAUCAUAUCGCAUCAUUUGCUAAAAUGUUUAAAUACAUACAUA
rnacentral:lncRNA from 1 species